rnacentral:rRNA from 1 species
GGCCAGCGCNGCUAUACUGCAGUCGAGCGAAGUUUUUCUGGUGCUUGCACCGGAAAAACUUAGCGGCGAACGGGUGAGUAACACGUAAAGAACCUGCCUCAUAGACUGGGACAACUAUUGGAAACGAUAGCUAAUACCGGAUAACAGCAUUAACUGCAUGGUUGAUGUUUAAAAGUUGGUUUUGCUAACACUAUGAGAUGGCUUUGCGGUGCAUUAGCUAGUUUGUGGGGUAAAGGCCUGCCAAGGCGACGAUGCAUAGCCGACCUGAGAGGGUGAUCGGCCACACUGGGACUGAGACACGGCCCAGACUCCUACGGGAGGCAGCAGUAGGGAAUCUUCCGCAAUGGGCGAAAGCCUGACGGAGCAACGCCGCGUGAGUGAAGAAGGAUUUCGGUUUGUAAAGCUCUGUUGUUAGGGAAGAAUGAUUGUGUAGUAACUAUACACAGUAGAGACGGUACCUAACCAGAAAGCCACGGCUAACUACGUGCCAGCAGCCGCGGUAAUACGUAGGUGGCAAGCGUUGUCCGGAAUUAUUGGGCGUAAAGCGCGCGCAGGUGGUUUAAUAAGUCUGAUGUGAAAGCCCACGGCUCAACCGUGGAGGGUCAUUGGAAACUGUUAAACUUGAGUGCAGGAGAGAAAAGUGGAAUUCCUAGUGUAGCGGUGAAAUGCGUAGAGAUUAGGAGGAACACCAGUGGCGAAGGCGGCUUUUUGGCCUGUAACUGACACUGAGGCGCGAAAGCGUGGGGAGCAAACAGGAUUAGAUACCCUGGUAGUCCACGCCGUANACGAUGAGUGCUAAGUGUUGGUCUCAUAAGAGAUCAGUGCUGCAGCUAACGCAUUAAGCACUCCG